UACAGAGGUCCCAAGCGUUGUUCGGAUUCACUGGGCGUAAAGGGUGCGUAGGUGGUGAUGUAAGUUUGAUGUGAAAUCUCCGGGCUUAACCCGGAAAUUGCAUUGAAUACUACAUGGCUUGAGGUUUGGAGGGGGGACUGGAAUUCUUGGUGUAGCAGUGAAAUGCGUAGAUAUCAAGAGGAACACCAGUGGCGAAGGCGAGUCCCUGGACAAAUCCUGACACUGAGGCACGAAAGCUAGGGGAUCAAACGGGAUUAGAUACCCCGGUAGUCCUAGCCCUAAACCGUGCACAUUUGCUGUGAGAGGAAUCAACCCCUUUCGUGGCGUAGCUAACGCGUUAAAUGUGCCGCCUGGGGAGUACGGUCGCAAGAUUA
rnacentral:rRNA from 1 species